rnacentral:ncRNA from 2 species
CUCUUAUCAUGAGAAGGCUGAGGGAUUUGGACCGAUGACGCCCGGCAACCUGCAUUACGCAAAGGUGCUACUUCCAACAGAAUGAAACCAUUCUGAAAGAUGAGAG